AAAUAGGAAGAAGACAGCGAAGAAGAAGGGGUGGAUCUGAGUACGCCUGUUGAAAAGCGUUGUUUUCUCUUUUGUGGCGCCUUUCGACUUUUUGUGCCACAUCAACAGACAGAGGACUUAUACCGAGGUAUUGUCUCUUCCUUUAUAACAUCCUGGGUGGCCAACGGAAAUAUAUCUUCUUGUUGUUUACAAUCAAACGCCCGCUUCGUUUCGCGCCUCGAGUAACGAACGCGCUGCAGCUGGAGUGGGGGGCACUGUUAUCGCCAUUUUGCUUCCUCAACAACCCAAGCAAGCAUGGCAGAGGCAGACCGACCAGGCAAACUGUUUGUCGGCGGGCUGAAUACCGAGACCACCGAGAAGGCCUUGGAGCAGUAUUUCAGCAAAUAUGGCAGAAUUGUUCAAGUUCUUUUGAUGAAAGACCGUGAAACAAACAAGUCAAGGGGUUUUGCAUUUGUGACAUAUGAUAGUCCAGCCGAUGCAAAGGAUGCUGCACGUGAGAUGAAUGGAAAGUCUCUUGAUGGCAAGGCCAUCAAAGUGGAGCAGGCUACCAAGCCUAAUUAUGACAAUGGCAGCAGACGAGGUCCCCCACCCAUGCACUCUCGCAGCCGUGGCCCACCCAGGGGCCUCCGUGGAUCAAGGGGAGGUGGAAUGAGAGGCCCAUCCAGAGAUUACUAUGAUGAUGACGACGACGACGAACCCUUCUUUAAGGGGAUGUCAUCAAGAGGCCCCCCGCCAAUGAAGAGAGGACCCCCAAUGCGCAAUGGAGGCCCUCCACCUAAGAGAUCUGCCCCAUCUGGUCCAAUGAACAGACCCCCAAUGUCAAGGGACAGGGACCCCUAUGGUCCACCCCCUCGCAGAGACUCCAUGAUGUCCAGAAGGGAUGACUAUCCAUCACCGAGAGAUGACCACUACUCAAAGGAUGGCUACUCCAGCCGAGAUUAUAACUCAAGAGAUUCAAGGGACUAUGGUCCGCCUCCCAGGGAUUAUUCAUACCGCGAUUACUCCAGUUCCCGGGAUGACUACGGCUCAAUGUCAAGGGGUUACAAUGACCGUGAUGGCUAUGGUGGAGGACGGGAUUCCAGAAGCUACAUGGACCGUUCGAGUGGUGGCGGCGGAGGCGGCGGCUCAUACAGAGACUCGUUUGAUGGUUACGGAUGAACACUGGACGGCAAACAAACCUUGAUACACACUGCAACUCUGUCCAUUGGUACUCCCGUCAGACCAGUAGGCCGAUGAUGAACGCGUACCAAUCUGUGGAGUGUCUGCCACAGCCCUGAGACAACUCCAUGAAAGACUGCUGGAUAAUGAGAAGAGGCUGAUUAUUGGGUUCAAAAUGUACUUUUUAAUAAAUGGCCAAAAAAAAAGUGACUCUGUUCAGUGUGUCAUCAUCAAAGACUGAUAGAAAUGAACUUCAAAACUGAACUGAAAUUCUAUUCCAGUACAAACACAUUACCUGUACUUUCCUCAAUAAGUGACCCCCUCCAAUAAUUUAGCAUGUCCCAAGUAUGAUGAUAAAAGGGAAAUGCAAAAGGCCACUUUAAAAAUUCAAUGGUUAACCACCACAGCCAAAUGUUUAGAAUCGGUCAGGACUUCUGAUUAUUUUGCUUCCAGAAAACACUUUUUUCACAUUUCGGGCUAUAACCAUACAAUGUCAAAACCGGGGAAAUAAAAGUUUUAAGAGGAAACCGUGCCACCUUUGAAAUGGCAGGACUGUGAUAUGCCCCUUCCGCCUCCCGCAGUUUGUGUCUCCCAAUAACAUUUAGGUAAAUGGACUUUGAAUGCUACUAAACUUAGUAGUAUUGGGUUGAUAAAAAUAAAAAACUAGAUUGAAGUUGUAUAGUUUCUUCAUCUAUCACCUGAACGGCUUACCAUUAUACACCCAUGACCAACAGUCAUGGGUGCUUUUUCCCAUGACUGUUAUCUGACCAGAAUCUAGUUCUGCUCUACAACGUAAAUUACGGAUAAAUGUUUAAUCACCUCAUAUUACAUGUAUAGCACACAACAAAUUGAUGGACAACUAGGUUUAAAAUCAGACGUCAAGAAUAAUGACUGCUAUUGUGGAUUACAUUAAACAAAUUUACAUUUUGGUUCAGACUUUAGCAAGCAUCAUGGAACUUGACAUGCUUGAUUUGCUUUCGCGGGCCACAUAAAUUGAUGUGAUGGGCCAGAUCUGGCCCCCGGGCCUGAACUUUGACAAUUGUAUUUAAAAUAUAAUUUUACAGAAUGGGUCGAUGACAAACCUAUAUAUUCAUGCAAAUGUUUACACUUUACACGUAUAAACUUUUGCAUUCAAUAGUCUUGUUACAGAUUACCUUAAAACUACAUAUAGGACUGGAUCUGGUGUGCAGGCCUUGAAUUUGACAUUUGUACUUUAAAUAGGUCUCUGGCCAACGUAUAUUGCAAAAAUAAAUAAA